rnacentral:miRNA from 1 species
AAGGAUUCUGGCUAGAGUCUCAGAGGGAGCAUGGUCCUGUUGACACCUUGAUUUCAGACUUCUAGCCUAUGGAACUGUGCAAGGAUAAAUUUCUGUUGUUUUAAGCCACCCAGUUGGUGGUACUUUGUUAUGGCAGCUUUAGGAA